UUCAAUAAUGCGCCGAAUUUUCAUAAGAAAUAUGGGGGAACCAUUUUUUAUGGGGUGAAUUUCGUUGUUUAUUCAACGAAUAGGGUAACCUGUGCAUACCCGAAUCCGUCAGCUAACCUCGUAGGCGAUAUGCUAGCAGGA
rnacentral:sRNA from 1 species